rnacentral:lncRNA from 1 species
AAGUUGUCUCAUGGCAACUUAUAAGAAAUAACACUCAAGUGAGCAUUCAAAAGAAAUAAAAAUAAAGGAAAUGAAAAGAAAUGCAGAAUUGCAAAAUAAAAAAUAAAAUAAAUUACAAACAAAACAAUCUUAAAUUGAAGAGAAUGUAAAGGGUGGUUGGAAUCCAUCUAUGUCCGCCCCUGAACAUGUUUUCCCCCGCGGCGUGGGUGUUACAAGACUUUCAGAAAAUAGGAUCCG